rnacentral:lncRNA from 1 species
UGAACAUGGAGGUGUUUCAUAUAAAUUGGAAUAUGCUGUUUGUUAGGAACUUGAUCAACCGGCAUCGUAAAUGAGACAUCAACCUAAUAACACAAAAUCAAUCUUUGCAAGAGAGUUCAACAGAGGUCAUCAAUAGUACACAGGAGCUAAGCAAUGUUCUAAGUACUUAUUUGAUCCGAUUCCUAAACAAGUUGUGAAUAUCUGUACUAAAACUGCAACAAGUUCUCAAGAAUGUAUAAGUAAAAAAAACAGAUACAAUUAAGAUUUGUUUAUUUUGUAUAUUUAAUAGAA